AUUCUGCUGAUUUCUAAUCCAACUUUGGAAAUUGCUAAGCUCUUUGCUACAGCAUUUCCCCUGUGGUAAGGAAUUCCAUAGAAUUACCCUAGAGUGAAAUUUGUGGUGAUUUGGAGACCCUGCCUCAGGAAAUGUAGAAACGUUGACAGAAAUGAAGAUAAUGUUUUUAAGGUCUUUAUGACACUGUGAAAGCAGCACUUUGAAAGAAAGGCAAAAAGACAAGAAAAAGCAAAGAGAAGCACCCAAAACUUACAUACUUUUUUCCAAUGCCUCUUGUCUCCGAAAGCAUACCAAGAGGUUCCAGAAGAGUCUCUGUGUAUCCACAGGGGCCACCCAUUUCUCAAAAUCAGGUUAUCAGUAGCUGCUGCCCAUUUCAGGUUACUGUAGCAUACCAAGGGGCAGCUCCUGUCCCUCAAAGAAGAAAAACAGGCAGUGGUGCAGCUAUCUUCCUUCCAAGAGAACAUAUGGAUACUUCUCAGGGGUGAAAUAGCAACUUAGAGGAGAGGUGAUUUCAACAGCAAGUGGGAAAGAUAAUCUCCAAACUGAAGCCCUGCAGCCCCAUCAACACCCACCCCCUGUAGCUGCUUGUAAAUUCUAAAAACCAUGGAAAAUCCAGCUUCUUGUUCUCUGACACAGCAUCUAAUUUGAGGUUUGCUUUAUUUUCAAGCCUUUUGAUGUAUGUUUUGGAUGCAUUUGGCCUUCUUGCAAAGACCUAUUUGACCUUUUAUAACUCAAUGUUGCUAUGUAUUUUCUGCUGUUUUGCAAGCUGACUAAAC